AAAGUAUAUAUUUCUCGCUCACCGACCACGCUUCCCCUUCUAUGUAGAUCUUAUAUCUGAAUGCCAAAUUUCAGAUGCAAACAAAUGAAAAUCAAUAUAGCAAAUUAACAAAAUAUGAGAAUAUACGUGAUUUACAAGAUAUAUUUUAUAUAUACACACAUACCUGUGAGUGCAUUGAUCUUCUAGGUUUGAUCCUUUAAACCCCUUCUUGGUCUCAUUUCUCCAAUCCUGAAACAACAUGUGAGAGUGAGACAAGGACUUCUAGGUUUGACGUUAUAUAAAUGCCUACAUGGUAUACACUUUAACAAAACGAACCUUAUCUAGACCCAAAAUGAAACUCACUCGUUAUUUGAGAAUGCAUGUAAAUUAUGAAGUCCAAUUUCAAGAUUCAGUGACAAUUGGUUUCAAAAUGGAAUACACAUUCAAACUUAUAGAGAUGGGAGAUGUUCUUUCUUUUUUGAAUGACUAGAAAAUUUUGGAUCCGAAAGCCCGUACAUUUAGGGCGAGACUCCCACCAUGUUCAUGUUGAGAUGAAGAGAUCAAGCUAUAUGAAAGAAGGAUAUCAAAGGCACCAGACUUGAGAAGUUAGGCACCAGACUUGAGACUGUUGCUAAGGCACCAGACUUGAGAAGUUAGGCACCAGACUUGAGACUGUUGCUACAGUACUCGGCCCAGAAAGGAAGAAGCCCAUGACAGCCUUUCUCAAGCUCUUAAAACCCUUGUAUCCUCUCUAUAUAAACUUUAUAAUCUCUUCAUUAAGAUUCAAGCAAGAUAAUAAAAAGUCUCUGGUCAUCUUUGAAUUCUCUCUCUAGCCUUUAAUCUCAUUUCCAAAUUUCAUUAAUCUCCAAUCUCUAAUCUCUUUAAUAAUCCUCUCAAAUCUCUUUCUAAUCUCAUUUAUUAUUCAAGAUGUCUAGAAAUCUUAGUUCAAGCACGGCCUGUAUACCCCAUAUGAUAGGAGAUGUUAUACACAUACCUGAGCAUAAAGUCGAAGCAUAGGAUCAUACUUGUCGGAGAAGUUACAUCUCAUGAGUUCUUUUCUUAUCGGAGUAGAAACAUGAGGGUUUCCUUUCCAAUAAGCGUACGGAAUUCUAUCUUUCCAUUUCACCCUUUUGUUCCCUUCUUGAAGUGCCACAGAUAACUUCUUCCACUCCUUUAUAUUCACCUCCGGCCUAUGGAAAACAUACUAAUAUUUACAUACUUUGGUGGUUACAACUUACAUGCCUACACUAUCAACCAGACUUAAAAAAUAUAAGUAGAUUUUAUAACCAAUUUUUUUAUUUUUUAAUAAAAUAUUAAUAAUAAUUAGAAUUUAAUUAUUUAUUUAAAAUGAGAAUUUUUGAAAAAAAAUAUCAUUUAUUAUUGUAAAAUAGUUAACAUCUCUAAGAAAUUAUUUGCGACAGUGCAUUAUAUUUAAAUGAUGUAAACUGUAACUGUAAGUAGUGACUAAUUUAUUUUUAACGAAAAUUUUAGUGAUAAUUAAAUAAAAUGUAUUUUUUUUUAAAUCACACAGAAAAGCAAUUUAAACAAUGUUUUAUAUUUUGACAACCAUUAACGUGAGACAAAAGAAAAAAAAUAAAAA